CAGUAGCCGCGGUAAUACAGAGGGUGCAAGCGUUAAUCGGAAUUACUGGGCGUAAAGCGUGCGCAGGCGGUGUUGUAAGACUGAUGUGAAAUCCCCGGGCUCAACCUGGGAACUGCAUUGGUGACUGCAACGCUGGAGUGCGGCAGAGGGGGAUGGAAUUCCGCGUGUAGCAGUGAAAUGCGUAGAUAUGCGAAGGAACACCGAUGGCGAAGGCAAUCCCCUGGGCCUGCACUGACACUGAGGCACGAAAGCGUGGGGAGCAAACAGGAUUAGAGACCCCCGUAGUCCCUGUCUCUUAUAA
rnacentral:rRNA from 1 species